AACUGUUUUGGGUUGAGCCCAAUUGGGGAUUUGAACCCACACUGCCAGAGUGAGGCACCUUAUCACUAGCACACUAGGUCAGCGAUCUAACCCACUCAGCCACCAAGGCUUCCACGGAAUGAAAGUGACUAAGAAAGUGUUAUCCCAAAUAUAACAUUUGUUACAUUUGAUCACUUUCUGAAUGGUAUUGUGUAUUCAAAACAAGGACUGAUCGGUAGAAAAGCUAUGAUGCUAAAAAUAGAAAUCAUGUAAGCCUCACUUUGGGAUCUAGAAGCGCUUUGAAUGAAUGCUGGAUGGCCAUCUUUCAAACCUGUCUUGCACCUUGGUGAUAGGCUGUAACCGAUACGCUAAAAGGUCCUUUCUUAACUUUUUUUUAGAUGGUUUAUAACAUUAGGGGAGGAGAGGAAAAGGGUGAAAUCAACUUCCAGACUAGUACUGCUAUUGAAGACUG